UGCAGUCGAGCGGAUGAGGGAGCUUGCUCCUGGAUUCAGCGGCGGACGGGUGAGUAAUGCCUAGGAAUCUGCCUGGUAGUGGGGGAUAACGUCCGGAAACGGGCGCUAAUACCGCAUACGUCCUGAGGGAGAAAGUGGGGGAUCUUCGGACCUCACGCUAUCAGAUGAGCCUAGGUCGGAUUAGCUAGUUGGUGGGGUAAAGGCCUACCAAGGCGACGAUCCGUAACUGGUCUGAGAGGAUGAUCAGUCACACUGGAACUGAGACACGGUCCAGACUCCUACGGGAGGCAGCAGUGGGGAAUAUUGGACAAUGGGCGAAAGCCUGAUCCAGCCAUGCCGCGUGUGUGAAGAAGGUCUUCGGAUUGUAAAGCACUUUAAGUUGGGAGGAAGGGCAGUAAGUUAAUACCUUGCUGUUUUGACGUUACCAACAGAAUAAGCACCGGCUAACUUCGUGCCAGCAGCCGCGGUAAUACGAAGGGUGCAAGCGUUAAUCGGAAUUACUGGGCGUAAAGCGCGCGUAGGUGGUUCAGCAAGUUGGAUGUGAAAUCCCCGGGCUCAACCUGGGAACUGCAUCCAAAACUACUGAGCUAGAGUACGGUAGAGGGUGGUGGAAAUUUCCUGUGUAGCGGUGAAAUGCGUAGAUAUAGGAAAGAACACCAGUGGCGAACGCGACCACCCUGGACUGAUACUGACACUGAGGUGCGAAAGCGUGGGGGAGCAAACAAGAUUA
rnacentral:rRNA from 1 species